GAUGAACGCUAGCGGCAGGCUUAACACAUGCAAGUCGAGGGGUAUAGUUCUUCGGAAUUAGAGACCGGCGCACGGGUGCGUAACGCGUAUGCAAUCUACCUUUCACAGAGGGAUAGCCCAGAGAAAUUUGGAUUAAUACCUCAUAGUAUAGCAGUUUCGCAUGAAACCACUAUUAAAGUCACAACGGCAAAAGAUGAGCAUGCGUCCCAUUAGCUAGUUGGUAAGGUAACGGCUUACCAAGGACUACGAUGGGUAGGGGUCCUGAGAGGGAGAUCCCCCACACUGGUACUGAGACACGGACCAGACUCCUACGGGAGGCAGCAGUGAGGAAUAUUGGGACAAAUGGGCGGCAAGCCUGAUCCAGCCAUGCCGCGUGCAGGAUGACGGUCCUAUGGAUUGUAAACUGCUUUUGUACAGGAAGAAACACUCCCUCGUGAGGGAGCUUGACGGUACUGUAANAAUAAGGAUCGGCUAACUCCGUGCC
rnacentral:rRNA from 1 species